CGGCGGCCCAGGACAAAUGUUCCCUAUUGAACCGUAAAGAAACCGAAAGGCGAAGGUUGUGACGGCUUUGGAAAACUCGCAGGAAAGAUGGAAACCUUGGGGGUUCGGGAGACAAGACGGAGAGGUGGGAGCUAUUGAAAGCCAAGGCAAAGCCUGCCUGCCAUCCAUUGACAGGGAACAUCACAUAAUUUUUCCAGAAGAACUAAAAUCCUGGACACCAGCCAUGUCUUGACAUCUGCCUAAACAUGAUCCAUGAGUCUUCCAGAAGAAGGAUGCCCCAUUCAUGCCCACAGACUUUAAUGAGAACCACCUCCCAUUCAAA